rnacentral:rRNA from 1 species
AGUGAACGCUGGCGGUAGGCCUAACACAUGCAAGUCGAACGGCGGCACAGUAAGAUCUUGCUCUUCCGGGUGGCGAGUGGCGGACGGGUGAGGAAUACAUCGGAAUCUACUUUUUCGUGGGGGAUCACGUAGGGAAACUUACUCUAAUACCGCAUACGACCUACGGGUGAAAGCAGGGGAUCUUCGGACCUUGCGCGAUUGAAUGAGCCGCUGUCGGAUUAGCUAGUUGGCGGGGUAAAGGCCCACCAAGGCGACGAUCCGUAGCUGGUCUGAGAGGAUGAUCAGCCACACUGGAACUGGGACACGGUCCAGACUCCUACGGGAGGCAGCAGUGGGGAAUAUUGGGCAAUGGGCGCAAGCAUGAUCCAGCCAUACCGCGUGGGUGAAGAAGGCCUUCGGGUUGUAAAGCCCUUUUGUUGGGAAAGAAAAGCAGCAGGUUAAUACCCCGCUGUUCUGACGGUACCCAAAGAAUAAGCACCGGCUAACUUCGUG